AUCUGUUCUUAUCAGUUUAAUAUCUGAUACGUCCUCUAUAUGAGGACUACAUAUUAAAUUGAUUUGGUAUUGCAGUACCUCCGGGAACGGUGC
rnacentral:snRNA from 1 species